rnacentral:rRNA from 1 species
UACGGAGGGUGCAAGCGUUAUCCGGAUUCACUGGGCUUAAAGGGUGCGUAGGUGGGUCUGUAAGUCAGUGGUGAAAUCCCCGAGCUUAACUUGGGAACUGCCGUUGAUACUAUAGAUCUUGAAUAUCGUGGAGGUAAGCGGAAUAUGUCAUGUAGCGGUGAAAUGCUUAGAUAUGACAUAGAACACCAAUUGCGAAGGCAGCUUACUACACGAUCAUUGACACUGAGGCACGAAAGCGUGGGGAGCAAACAGG